rnacentral:rRNA from 1 species
CCAACAGGGAUUCCCUUAGUAAGUGCGACUGAAACGGGAUGAGCCCAGCGCAUAACCUUGUGCAAGGGGUGUUGCGUUCCGGAGGGUCCUAACCCGCACGCUUGCUGCUAAGUCUUGCUUGAACGCAGCCCCAUACCCAUGGAGGGUGCUAGGCCCGUGUGGCAGCGAGUAGUACCUGGGUGAAAGAGGAGCGGCGGAAGGGACCUUCUGUAGAGUCGGGUUGCUUGGCAGUGCAGCCCAAAGAAGGUGGUAAACUCCAUCUAAGGCUAAAUAUGCCCACGAGU